rnacentral:lncRNA from 10 species
GAACUCUGAAGGAGGAAGCCACGAUGUCAGCUGUCUGUUCCCUUUGUCAUCACUGCUAGACACUAUUUGCUGAUUUAUUUGUUCAAUGCUGGUCUCCCACACUAGACCAUGAGCAGGAAGGAGAGGCAGCAUGCAACUGUGCUCGUUGUCUACACAGGGCCUAGCACUGGGCCUGGGCCAGGGCAGGCACCUGGGAGAUUGCUGCAAGAGAGAAGGUCACCUAUCUCCCCAGGUAGCCUCUCUCACCCUGACAAUGUAUCUUCACAGGUAAGGGACAAAGACAAGACUAGAAAUCAUCCCUCUGCCCACCUCAAGACAAAUGCAGAUCUGACUUCUUCUUCCUCUACUCUAUGUUUACUUUAUCUUAUGUAAAAUACAAGAUUUACUGAGCAGGAGCCGAA